UUACAGACUGCACACCAGGUGCUCGACGAAAUGUGCGCCAUGGGAUUUGUGCCCAAUGUGGUGACUUUUACUACCAUUUUGGGUGCCAAGAGAGUGUUUGGUGAGAAUUUGGACAGAGGGUGGUUUCCUGAUGUGACUACUUAUACCAUAUUGAUGGAUGGGUAUGUGAAGCUGGUUGUGGCUAUUAAGGUCAUGGAUGAGAUGGAGGAUGAUGGGAUUGGCGCCAAUGAGGUUACUUAUGGGGUUAUGAUUGAAGCUUAUUGUAAGGAAAAGAAGUCGGCGCUUUGUUGUAAGGUGGAGAAAAGGUAUAUACCGAGCUCGGCGCUCUGUUGUAAGGUGAUUGAUGUUCUGUGUUGCGAAGGGAAGGUGGAGGAUGCUUGUGAACUGUGGAAGAGGCUUUUGAAGAAGAAUUGCACGCCAGAUAAUGCAGUAUUGGGCACACUCAUAUACUAGCUUUGUGAGAAGGGAGAAGUGUGGGAAGCCAGAAAAUUGUUUGAUCAGUUUGAGACGAGUGAGGCUUAUUUCUGAUGUCAUGACUUACAACAUGCUUAUUUCUGGGAUGUGUGAAGUGGGGGAGUUGUGUGAGGCAGGGAGGUUGUGGGAUGACAUGGUGGACAAGGGAUGUACUCUGUAUUGAUCAAAGGAUUCUGUAAGAUUAGAAAAGCGAAGAAGGGAAUUAGGAUUUUGGACGAGAUGUUCGAAAAAGGCUGUUUGCCAAACAAGUCUACUUAUGCUAUGUUGAUUGAGGGGCUCUGUGACUCGGGAGAGGAAGCUGAAGUCACUAGAGUAAUAUCUAUGGCAAUGUCAAGUGGGAUCUUUUCCUUACUAAGGUUGUUGGUGAUUUGGAUACUGGGGAAAGUGUUCUAAACAGAAUACUACUGGAGAAUGCUGAUUAGAGCCUCGGACCUUGUGGCCUUGGAAAAUGCUGACCUUGAUCUCACCCACAGUUUUUCUCAGGUGCCAGUAGAAGUACCUUAUUGGAAUCAAGUCUGCAGGGACCCAAGAUGGGCACUGAUGGUGGAUAUUGGAAGGGAUUUCUCUCCACUUUCGAGUCUUGGUUGCCUCUUGAAGUCUGAAAUUUGGGCUACUUGGUACAACGGUGGUUGAGGUUUCCGUUGUGUGAUUGAAAACUAGAUACCAAAUUUUGAGAAAGCUUGCAUGAAUGUCUUCCACAAGGUAAACCUAGUGCAAGCUAUAGAAAUUAGACAACAUAAGUUUUACUUUUCUGUUGUGUGAAGUGGGAACAUAGGCGCCAACAUUUUGAGUCAAAUGUGGAAAGAGAGAGGGAGGCAAUGCCCCAGCCAUGUAGAUGGCACCGCCAAAACUAAGAGCCGUCCUAAUCGCACUUUCAAAGUCCUCAAUCAAGGGAGCCUGAGCACAGAGAUGUAUAUUCUCAAUGUAGAGCAUUCGUUCAUUACGCGCACAUUUGCAGAGCCUGUGAGAAUAUUGCCACCGCCUACAAAGCGUAUUGUAAAGCAAGAGAAUCUCACUAUGUAGAACAAGAAGAUCAAGUUGAUGAUCUCGAGCUAAGGGUUGAAGACUUCAAAUCUAGCCAGGGUCAAAAGACCGGCAAUUUUGUUUAUGUCUUUAUCUUUCCAAGAUGAUGUAACAAGGCAAUUCGCCAUAGUUCUUAGUAGAUGUCGUUGGUUUUAGUUUUUCUUCAACUAGGCUCAUCCAUAGUAAGUUUGAUGUCUAGGAAAGUAAUUGAGAUAAGUAGUACU